rnacentral:tRNA from 1 species
GGGGGUGAAAAGCCCGAAGAUACUGGCUUACAGUAAAGUUAAAGAGGUUUUUCGAGCACCUGGCUUUGCUUAAGAAGAGCUCGGAUAAGCUUGUAGAUGCUGUAUGAAAGGUUCUCAAGACGGGGGUUCGAUUCCCCCCAUCUCCACCA